CAUGUACGGUGAGUUAGAGGAUCAAUUGCCAUCAGCAUAGGUAGAACAAAUACGUCAUUGACGACCUAUCGGCGGCGUCGUCGUCUCCUCCUCCGCCGAAGAAGAAUCCCGUGAUGAGGCAGGAAGGCAAGACGACGCCGGCGAGAGACCUCCCCGGCCCCGCCCGCUCCAGGCUUACCCGUCGCCGACAGAUCCGCAAGACGUUCAACAACCUUAAGAUCACCGUCCUCUGCGGUGUCGUCACCAUUCUCGUCCUCCGCGGCACCGUUGGCAUCGGGAGCCUCAUCGGCGCCGGCGGAGGCUCUGAGGCCUCCGAAGACUCCGACAAGAAGGUUGUCGAGGACAUAGACCGCAUCCUUCGCGAGAUCCGUUCGGACUCCGACCCGGACGAGGGCGACCAGAUCCCGUUCGGAUUUAACUCCGCUGCCGCCGCUCUCAACUAUACCUCUUCCGACGUCCUCGACGCCGUUGCCAACUACACCCUCGGCUCCAAGAUCUCCGACUGGGACGAGCAGCGGCGGCGGUGGCUGACCGAGAACCCAGGGUUCCCGAACCGGAUCGCUACCGGCAAGCCGAGGACCUUACUUGUCACUGGAUCGCCGCCCAACCCAUGCGACAACGCCAUUGGCGACCAUUACCUUCUGAAGGGCACCAAGAACAAGAUCGAUUAUUGCCGCAUCCAUGGGAUCGAGAUCGUCUACAAUAUGGCGCAUCUAGACCAGGAGCUCGCAGGGUACUGGGCGAAGCUCCCGCUGAUCCGCCGUCUGAUGCUCGCGCACCCGGAGUUGGAGUGGAUCUGGUGGAUGGACAGCGACGCUCUCUUUACCGACAUGGCCUUCGAGAUUCCUCUCGACCGAUAUGCUUCUCACAAUCUCGUUAUCCAUGGCUAUCCCGAUCUCCUCUUUGAGAAAAAUUCCUGGAUUGCCCUCAACACCGGCAGCUUUCUGCUGCGCAAUUGCCAGUGGAGUCUCGAUUUGCUUGAUGCGUGGGCGCCGAUGGGGCCAAAAGGCCCGAUUCGAGAUGAAGCCGGAAAGAUACUGACUGCCAAACUGCAGGGUCGGCCGGCGUUCGAGGCCGACGAUCAAUCGGCGCUCAUUUACUUACUGCUAUCGCAGAAGAAUCGGUGGGUAGACAAGGUUUACAUCGAAAACUCCUAUUACCUUCAUGGAUUUUGGACUGGAUUGGUGGAGAAAUUUGAGGAAAUGAUGGAGAAGCAUCAUCCCGGACUAGGGGACGAGAGGUGGCCAUUCGUAACUCAUUUUGUUGGCUGCAAGCCUUGUGGUAGCUAUGGAGACUACCCUGUGGAGAGAUGCUUGAAAAACAUGGAGAGAGCUUUCAAUUUUGCAGAUAACCAAGUGCUCAGAAUGUAUGGGUUUUCUCAUGGAAACCUGACCACCCAUAAGAUUAAGAGGACUAAGAAGCAGACAGAAAAGCCAUUGGAAUUCUUGAAUCAGCUUAAUCCUGAAGCUAAGAUAGAAACCAAAGGGUGAGACAGACAGGCCAUCUAUGGGACUAAUGGACUAUUGUUCUACAAAAUCUCAGUUUCACAUAGAGAAAACCUGGCAGAUUCUGAGAUUGCAGUUCCCUAUUAGAAAAGGAGAACUGCUUCAGCUCUAUAGUAUGUUGCUUUGUGGGCGAUCGAACAAGAAGGGAUUAAACAUAUGAACUCAGCGUCAGCAUCUUGUUGCAAAUUGGAUUCAAAGAAUUCAUCAUCUUUUCCUUGAAAGAACCACAACUUGACAUCAAAACCCAUGGGUUCAACGGUAUGAAUUAUAUUCUAUUUGUUGGAGUAAUUCAACAUGCAUGUAUCUUAUUGUUGGAUCCACUGAGCAAGCAACUCAACCUCAGUAGCUUAUCGUCGCAGCACUUGCUGUGAAUGAGGUAAUCUUUUGUAUGACCUAUUUCUCAUUUUGGAACAAUAAAAAACAGCAGCACUGAAUCUCAUUAUCCAGAACAAGACCUCACCCAGCAUUUAGUGCCUUAUUGUGGGUGUAACCAAACCACUUGGGAUAAGAAAAGCAUGAACUCAGCACCAGUAUCUUAUUGCGAGCUGAAUUCAGACAAGAACUCGGCAUCUCUUUGAGAAAGAACAAGAACUUGACAUCAUGCAUGUACCCAACUAUUGAAGUAAUCAAACAGGAAGUUGACCAAAAAAAAAAAAAAAGCCACUAACUCAGAAGCUUAACAUCAUGACUGAUUAAGCAAAUAACUCAG